UGGGGAAUCUUGGACAAUGGGGGCAACCCUGAUCCAGCCAUGCCGCGUGAGUGAUGAAGGCCUUAGGGUCGUAAAGCUCUUUCGCCUGUGAAGAUAAUGACGGUAGCAGGUAAAGAAACCCCGGCUAACUCCGUGCCAGCAGCCGCGGUAAUACGGAGGGGGUUAGCGUUGUUCGGAAUUACUGGGCGUAAAGCGCACGUAGGCGGACCAGAAAGUUGGGGGUGAAAUCCCGGGGGCUCAACCCCGGAACUGCCUCCAAAACUAUUGGUCUAGAGUUCGAGAGAGGUGAGUGGAAUUCCAAGUGUAGAGGUGAAAUUCGUAGAUAUUUGGAGGAACACCAGUGGCGAAGGCGGCUCACUGGCUCGAUACUGACGCUGAGGUGCGAAAGUGUGGGGAGCAAACAGGAUUAGAUACCCUGGUAGUCCACACCGUAAAACGAUGAAUGCCAGUCGUCGGGUAGCAUGCUAUUCGGUGACACACCUAACGGAUUAAGCAUUCCGCCUGGGGAGUACGUCGCAAGAUU
rnacentral:rRNA from 1 species